rnacentral:rRNA from 1 species
UGGGCUUGACAUCCCACGAACCUUCCCGAAAGGGUUGGGUGCCCGCAAGGGAGCGUGGAGACAGGUGGUGCAUGGCUGUCGUCAGCUCGUGUCGUGAGAUGUUGGGUUAAGUCCCGCAACGAGCGCAACCCUCACCCCUUGUUGCCACCGGGUAAAGCCGAGCACUCUAGGGGAACUGCUAGCGUCAAGCUGGAGGAAGGUGGGGAUGACGUCAAGUCAUCAUGCCCCUUACGCCCUGGGCUACACACGUGCUACAAUGGCCGGUACAAAGGGAUGCAAGACCGCGAGGUGGAGCUAACCCCAAAAAACCGGUCUAAGUUCAGAUUGCAGUCUGCAACUCGACUGCAUGAAGGAGGAAUCGCUAGUAAUCGCGCAUCAGCACGGCGCGGUGAAUACGUUCCCGGGCCUUGUACACACCGCCCGUCACACCACGAAAGCCGGCUGUACUCGAAGUCGCUGAG